AGUGAACGCUGGCGGUAGGCCUAACACAUGCAAGUCGAACGGCAGCACAGUAAGAGCUUGCUCUUACGGGUGGCGAGUGGCGGACGGGUGAGGAAUACAUCGGAAUCUACUUUUUCGUGGGGGAUAACGUAGGGAAACUUACGCUAAUACCGCAUACGACCUACGGGUGAAAGCAGGGGAUCUUCGGACCUUGCGCGAUUGAAUGAGCCGAUGUCGGAUUAGCUAGUUGGCGGGGUAAAGGCCCACCAAGGCGACGAUCCGUAGCUGGUCUGAGAGGAUGGUCAGCCACACUGGAACUGAGACACGGUCCAGACUCCUACGGGAGGCAGCAGUGGGGAAUAUUGGACAAUGGGCGCAAGCCUGAUCCAGCCAUACCGCGUGGGUGAAGAAGGCCUUCGGGUUGUAAGCCCUUUUGUUGGGAAAGAAAAGCAGCAGGUUAAUACCCCGCUGUUCUGACGGUACCCAAAGAAUAAGCACCGGCUAACUUCGUG
rnacentral:rRNA from 1 species